rnacentral:rRNA from 1 species
AAUCUCAGUUCGGAUUGAAGUCUGAAAUUCGACUUCAUGAAGCUGGAAUUGCUAGUAAUGGCAGGUCAGCAUACUGCCGUGAAUACGUUCCCGGGCCUUGUACACACCGCCCGUCACACCAUGAGAGUUGGAGAUACCCGAAGCCUAUGAGCUAACUUUUAGAGGCAGUAGUCGAAGGUAGAAUCAAUGAUUGGGGUGAAGUCGUAACAAGGUACC